AGGGCACUAAUGAGGUGGGAACCCUCCUGUUCUUGUGGUAUUGAAGGCUAAUUUUCUGGCUUAAAGAAAAUCAUUUCCAUCCUCCAUGUAUACUUGGCAGGCUAUAGGCUUUACAUAAUCUUGGCAGCAAGAGUAUGAAAACUUUCCCUCAGGACUCAAGAAGUCAGUUGUGUCCAAUUUUUAGCAUGGAUAAUCUGAUAAGAAUUUUACAAAUGUCUGUUGGACAUCAGGUUUGUUACAACUUUUACAAAGAAGCAAAAUACAUAGCCUCCAUCCUGAAGGGUUUUUGUUUUUGUUCCAUUUGGGAAGAGAACACUUUUACACAUAAAAUAGUAUACAGUUACCUCCAUAGACAGGGCAAUGCAAGUUAGGGCCAAAUUUAUAUUGUAAACAACGAAAGGGGAUGGUUACUGAGAAUUGAGGCACUUGAGAAAGUUCUAUGGUGGAAGAGGUCAAGUUAAGGACCCUUGAGUUCACAGUCUAGUUAAGAGAAUUCUUAAAUAGGUGAGAAGAUAAAAGUAUAUCAUAAGGUUAAGUAAUAGUUGAGAACAGUAAUAAAAGAAAUGGCACUAUUCAGAAUUCGGUGCAGCAACAAAGACGUGCACUUUUUUUUUUUUUUUUAAGGAAUUCAGAAAAAGAAAGCUGUUGAUGGCAUCAGGCCAGAGUGGAAAGAGAAGGCUUUUAAAACUAAAAAUCUCAGUUAAGACUUUGCCUCUGGGUCACCUAUUGGUAGAAGAAACUUUCUGUAAACGAUCCUGAGGAUUUCUGCCUUCAGACCUGAGCAGUUUAAUACCUCUGAGACUCAACUUAGACAACUGCAUUCAUAGAUUCCAUGGAGAAACCCUCACAGUAUUCCACUUCUCGCCUCAGCCAGCCCCACUGUGGAGGCGCAACCUCGGGUGCCCUUCCUGUAUAGGGAGGAAUGUACAGCAGCUUCUGCAGUGGGCCUGCUUUCCUCCCAGGAUUCCUCUCAAGGUUUGAACAUUAACUCCUGAAAGGACCUUGAGACAUACAACAGGAAGCAAGUGGCAAGCAGGAUGGAAAGCUAUUUCAUCUUUUGUGUGUUGGUAUAUGUAAAUAAAAACACCUAUCACAUCAUGGGUAGAAGUUUUGCUUUGAUAAUAGGGAUUCUGAUACACUUUAAUAAUUCAGGUUUUCUCUGGAAUUGUAUUCAAAAGUCAAUAGUGACUUCUCUGGUUGUCCAGUGGUUAAGAAUCCACCUUCCAAUGCAGGGGACACAGGUUUGAUCCCUGGUUGGGGGACUGAGGUCCCUCAUGCCUCAAGGCAGCUAAGCCUGCACCACAACCACUGAGCCUAAAGUAUGCUAGAGCCCACGAGUCACAGCUAAGACCAGCUGCAGUCUAAUUAAUUAAAAAAAGAUCAAUACAUUAAAAGGUUUAGGCAGGUAUGCCACUUAAAUUAUAUUCUUAUUUCUGAUUUUCUAGAUAAUUACUACAAGUGAAGUAUUGGAGUCCAUUGUAGGUCAUUAAAACAUUCAUGCUGUUUGUAGAUCAAAUCUAACAUUUCUAUCACUUUAUCAGUUGUAUCUAAUAUUCCUUGCACCUAAAUUAAGUUUUAGAGAUUGAAAGUAUCUUUUAAGACAUUUACUUAAAACACUUCUCUACAUUUAUCAUCCUAUGUUAUAUAUACAGUUCUAAUGAGACAUUGUUUGCUUCAAUUCUCUCUUACCUUUUCCUGCCAGAUUUUAACCAGUGCUAUUAACUUAUUCAUACCAUCUAGCCAUGUGUAACAGAAAAGGGAAAUGAGGACCUGUUAACUGCAUUCUGUGCCAGGUGCUGAACUAAACCCUGAUUGGUAACACUGUUGAUGCCUCACAACUCUGAGGUCUAGGGGUUGUUAAAAAGACAGUAAAGAAAAGAGAAUAAGUUGCUUCCUAAGAUUGCAUAGGUGGUAAUAAUAGAGUCAGGAUUUAAACUCAGGACUUCAGGUGCCACUACCAAUGAUACUUCCUUACUGGCUGCUGCUGCUGCUGCUAAGUCGCUUCAGUGGUGUCUGACUCUGUGUGACCCCAUGGACAGCAGCCCACCAGGCUCCCCCAUCCCUGGGAUUCUCCAGGCAAGAACACAAAUGGGUUGCCAUUUCCUUCUCCAAUGCAUAAAAGUGAAAGUGAAGUUGCUCAGUCAUGUCCGAC
ensembl:lncRNA